rnacentral:rRNA from 1 species
AGAGUUUGAUCCUGGCUCAGGAUGAACGCUGGCGGCGCGCCUAACACAUGCAAGUCGAACGGCACCUGCCCUCGGGCAGAAGCGAGUGGCGAACGGCUGAGUAACACGUGGAGAACCUGCCCCCUCCCCCGGGAUAGCCGCCCGAAAGGACGGGUAAUACCGGAUACCCCGGGGUGCCGCAUGGCACCCCGGCUAAAGCCCCGACGGGAGGGGAUGGCUCCGCGGCCCAUCAGGUAGACGGCGGGGUGACGGCCCACCGUGCCGACAACGGGUAGCCGGGUUGAGAGACCGACCGGCCAGAUUGGGACUGAGACACGGCCCAGACUCCUACGGGAGGCAGCAGUGGGGAAUCUUGCGCAAUGGGGGGAACCCUGACGCAGCGACGCCGCGUGCGGGACGGAGGCCUUCGGGUCGUAAACCGCUUUCAGCAGGGAAGAGUCAAGACUGUACCUGCAGAAGAAGCCCCGGCUAACUACGUGCCAGCAGCCGCGGUAAUACGUAGGGGGCGAGCGUUAUCCGGAUUCAUUGGGCGUAAAGCGCGCGUAGGCGGCCCGGCAGGCCGGGGGUCGAAGCGGGGGGCUCAACCCCCCGAAGCCCCCGGAACCUCCGCGGCUUGGGUCCGGUAGGGGAGGGUGGAACACCCGGUGUAGCGGUGGAAUGCGCAGAUAUCGGGUGGAACACCCGGUGGCGAAGGCGGCCCUCUGGGCCGAGACCGACGCUGAGGCGCGAAAGCUGGGGGAGCGAACAGGAUUAGAUACCCUGGUAGUCCCAGCCGUAAACGAUGGACGCUAGGUGUGGGGGGACGAUCCCCCCGUGCCGCAGCCAACGCAUUAAGCGUCCCGCCUGGGGAGUACGGCCGCAAGGCUAAAACUCAAAGGAAUUGACGGGGGCCCGCACAAGCAGCGGAGCAUGUGGCUUAAUUCGAAGCAACGCGAAGAACCUUACCAGGGCUUGACAUAUGGGUGAAGCGGGGGAGACCCCGUGGCCGAGAGGAGCCCAUACAGGUGGUGCAUGGCUGUCGUCAGCUCGUGUCGUGAGAUGUUGGGUUAAGUCCCGCAACGAGCGCAACCCCCGCCGCGUGUUGCCAUCGGGUGAUGCCGGGAACCCACGCGGGACCGCCGCCGUCAAGGCGGAGGAGGGCGGGGACGACGUCAAGUCAUCAUGCCCCUUAUGCCCUGGGCUGCACACGUGCUACAAUGGCCGGUACAGAGGGAUGCCACCCCGCGAGGGGGAGCGGAUCCCGGAAAGCCGGCCCCAGUUCGGAUUGGGGGCUGCAACCCGCCCCCAUGAAGUCGGAGUUGCUAGUAAUCGCGGAUCAGCAUGCCGCGGUGAAUGCGUUCCCGGGCCUUGUACACACCGCCCGUCA